AGAUAAUGAAGUAAAAUUUACAUUUAGUUUCGACCUAAAAUAGUGGAAUUUAAAUAAUUCCCUUAUCUA
rnacentral:tRNA from 1 species